UACCCAGUAUAAAUGAUAAUGCAUGUGUCCUCAGAUAAGCUCAACGAGAACAGAAAACUCGUGUGGAACAAAAGGAUAAAAGCUUGUUUGAUUAUAAUUUCCAGUACGAAUACGAACCGUGAAAGCAUGGCCUAUCGAUCCUUUAGACCUUCGGAGUUAGAAGCAAGAG
rnacentral:rRNA from 1 species